GAUGAACGCUGGCGGCGUGCCUAAUACAUGCAAGUCGAGCGAACUUUCGGGAGCUUGCCUCCACUAGUUAGAGGCGGACGGGUGAGAAACACGUGGGUAUCCCCCCUGUAAGAGACGGAUAAAACCGGGAAAACGGAGCUAUUACCCCAUAACAUUGUAUACAACACAGGCUUCAAAAAAAAAAUGGCUUUUUGCUACCACUUACAGAUGGACCCGCGGUGCAUUAGCUAGUUGGUAAGGUAACGGCUUACCAAGGCGACGAUGCAUAGCCGACCUGAGAGGGUGGUCGGGCACACUGGGACUGGAGCACGGCCCAAACUCCUACCGGGGGCAACAGUAGGGGAACUUCCGCAAUGGGGGGAAGGCCUGCCGGGGAAAGCCGCGGUGAGUGAUGAGGGCUUUGGGUUGUAAAGCCCUUUUGUUUGGGGAGGAAAAGUUUCGUACGAAUAGGGCGGUACCUUGACGGUACCUAACCAGAAAGCCACGGCUAACUACGUG
rnacentral:rRNA from 1 species